AUUGAACGCUGGCGGCAGGCCUAACACAUGCAAGUCGAACGAGUGGCGGACGGGAUGGCAAUGAUUGGGAAUCUAGCUUAGGGAGGGGGUUAACUACGGGAAACUGUAACUAAAACCGUGCACCUGAGGAUGAGUCCAAGUGGGAUUAGGUAGUUGGUGAGGUAAAGGCUCACGAAGCCGACGAUCUAUAGCUGGUCUGAGAGGAUGACCAGCCACACUGGAACUGAGACACGGCCCAGACUCCUACGGGAGGCAGCAGUGGGGAAUAUUGCGCAAUGGGGGCAACCUGACGCAGCCAUGCCGCGUGAGUGAAGAAGGCCUUCGGAUUGUAAAGUUCUUUCGGUAGCGAGGCGUUAACUACAGAAGAAGCACCGGCUAACUCCGUGCCAGCAGCCGCGGUAAUUC
rnacentral:rRNA from 1 species